CGUUAGAGUGCUUCGGUGACUGAGCCUUAUUAUCGUGUUAUCCUUGGAAACCCAUUGUCAGCGAACGAACAACCCAUUCUAUUCUCAGACGAAUCUCUCACAAUCGCUCUGAAAUACUCUCUUUCCUAUACUAACAUGUUUUCUUCUCACUCUCUCAAUCACCGAUUUUGGAGUCUCUGGUUCUCUUUCCUUUGUUCUAAAACCCUAUUUUAGCGUUAGCCCUUUAUUUCUUCGAUUUAAACCGAUCAAUCAAUUGAAAGGUAACAUUGAAACGCAAAUCGCCUCUCUUUCACUCUUAUUGUAGUUAUAUACAUUUUGUCUUACUUCAAUCUCAAACCCAUCAGACUAUCCAUGCUUUUUGUCGCUCUCUUACUGUCGUUCUUCAUAUAGGCAAGUAGUUAAGUUAGCUACCAGUGGAGGAAAUAUAUAAGCAACAAUCAAUCUGCUUUUGUAAAAGUCACAGGUACAUAAGGAUUACUUGCUGAAAUAGUAAACAGAGAUUUUUUUUGCUUUCAUUUAAUUAUUUUUAGGCUUAUUCUGAGUACUCUGACAGAGGAUAGCUUCACACUUUGGGAGGAUACAGUCAGGCAAUCUCUGUCAUACCCAAGAGAAAUGUCAUCAUAAAGACAAAUUGCAGUUAAUAAAUGGGAUGAUGUGAAGAAAAUUAUUGUUUUAGAGAGUCUACAAAUGCUUAAAGUGAGCUGAGAAUGGAAAGUCAAAAAGAAAAACUGUUAAGGCUUUGGAGCAAUUCGAGUCAACGGUACAAAUGUAUAAAACCAUUACGGACAAGCUUGACAUAGCCUAAUUCCCUUAGCAAAGCGAUAUCUUUAGUAGUUCGUUUAUAUUUUGUUUUCUUAUGGAUAUGUUAGUUCUUUUAUAGUUUAUUAGUUGUUUUUUAAUGGACACACCAUUGGUAGAUGUAAUGGAAAUUCUAUGUAUGGAUGUAUUUAAUAGUUUCUUUUUUUUCAUAGACAAGUCAUAAUGAUAUAUGUAUAGGAUGUGUAAUGGAUGUAUUUUAUUUGAAGUAAUUAAUUGAAUUACUUUUUAAGUUUU